rnacentral:lncRNA from 10 species
GAAAAGAUCUUCUACCUUCUACCCUUGCUGCCUUGGAACCUGGGACCACCAUGCUGUGAAGACUCCAGGGACAUGAGGCCAUGUGGAGAGAGUCCCAACCAUUACAACCAUCCCAGCCAUUUAGCCUGAUCCCCCACACUGAGUCUGUUAUUGGUGUUCUUGUAAUCUCCCAGGAUAGAAAUCAAGAGAGAUCACCAGCCACAGCAGCAAAGAAAAAGAGAAAGCUUCAUUUAGCUGGUGCACAGGGAAAGGCAGCACCAUGGAAGUAGUUAACAGUUCUGCAGAACAUUUUAGAAAUGGUAACAUAAGUAUAAACAACAAAACAGUGAGAUUCUGAUACCAACUUCCAGUUCCUCCUCACCAAGACUUCGUGAAAACUCUUCAGCUCAUCUGGCAAAACAAACAGGCAAAGACGCAGAUACCAGGACACUUCCUUUUGAACACUUGGCUGCAGAAGCUAAGAGACAUGGGAUACGCGAAUUGAUUCUUACAUAAUAUGAGAGAUAUAGGGCUGGACCACACGUGAUUCCCGUGGCACGCUGCUUCUGAGCACUCUACAGCCGCCCUCUAGCCAAACCCAGCACCGGUCAGAUGGGGAGAAACCAGAGAUAGGAAAGUGCUCGCACGUGGGAGGUCACAGUGGAGCCUCCGUGAGAACCGUCACCAGAAGAAGGUUACAGGCCAUGAACUGCAGACUCAGGAAGAUAAAUUGGCAAAGCAGCACCGCGAUGGAAGAGCUCCUGGCAGCAAUGUAAAUACUGGAGCCCA